rnacentral:tRNA from 1 species
UCCCAGCUGGCUCAGUCAGUAAAGAAUCUGCCUGCAAUGCAGGAGACGCAGGUUUGAUCCCUGGGUUGGGAA